UCUGAUAACAACAACAAUAACAAUAAUAAUAAUAAUAAUAUAUUAAAGAAUACAACAAGAAAAUACGUAACUCUUUAAAGUUUAGAAUUAUUGAGUAUUCCAAUCUGAUGCUGUCAUAUUUUUCACAUUUUAAGAGAAAGUGCAUCUCUGUCUCAACCUAAGCUGUUGUUCAGUGACCACAGACUCUUUCCUCUGUUGGUAGCCAGGACUUCUUGUGUCGUCCUUUCUCUAAGGCAAGACUGUGGUCACUCAGGAUCUGUCUCUGCUUUGUAUCUCUGACAGCAAAGAGAUACUCACUUUUAUUCAUCGUUUAGGGCCAGAUAACAAUUCAGUUUGUUUUGAGUUUUGGUUUGAUUUGUCCGAUAUUCCAGAUAAGCAUCUACUCCUGAUUACUGAGUGGACCCCACAUUUCACUCCCAAAAAGGGCAAUAUGUUGGAUUACACUGUCAAAUAUUUUAGUCCAAAUUCUAAUUGGUAUGUCUAUUUUAUAAAAAAAAUUUACUGACUGCAUAAAAAGCUCUACAUGCCCUUUAUUUUUAGCUCAUUCACAGCCCGACCAAAGUUACCUGACGCACUGAUUUUGAGCCUCAGGUAUUAUAUAGGCUUUACUCGUCUUUUUUCUGUAUAUAUAAUGAUCAGUUAAAUCAAUGAAAGUGUGUAGAGUUUUUACAUUUACAACAGAAAACUGCAAGGAGAGACAUUUAUUGUUGGUUGCCCUGCACUUCUACAGCCCUGCACAUCUAGAAAUAGCACUAGAGGGAUACCUACAACAUUAUAUUUUGAAGAGCAGGGCUACUGACCAAGUUGCAGCACUCGACGACUCUGGAGUGAGAAAGAGCGCAUACAUGGAUCUACUGAUGCUCUUUCAUUCAACCCGUUCAUAUGAGACAGCUCUUAGUCACUUUUUAUUUGUGUAAUGUUUGUCACCAUUUAGAGACUCCAUUCUUCAGUGUCAUUUUUACUACACUUCACUGAUAAACCAUAAAUAGUUACAAUCAUGAUGUACUUGUAACCAAUUAAACUGGAUAAUUUAUAUCUAAUCAUUUUAGCCUCAUAACCUCACACAAGGCAGAAAGCCAAAACAAAUAUAUAUCUACACAAUGCACACCAAAAGACAUUAACACUGUGCAACCCAGUGUGGCAUACCCAUUAUGUAGGUCAGUCAUCACAAACACUAUUUUAUUAGUUCAAUAACUUUAACUCUUCACCUGCUGAAUUAAUGUGGUAAAUGGUAAAUAUCAUGAGAUGAGUGAGAUAAGGAGAGAGAGGGCCAGACUACAAUAACCCAGUUUGACACCAGUGACAGGAACCAUUGUAAAUAAAACUAAUAUAUACUUUUAAUUGCCAGCUGUGAAACAGCCUAUAUAAAAAGUAGGAGGGACCCUGCAGUCCCAACACCAUGCACACCAUCACGGAAGGGGUGGAAUAGGAUCCAGGAUUCCUUCAAAAGUGAUGCAUCAGAAAAUAUGACAGAGACCUCUCCCCAGGUACCUUCACCGCCAUUGAUGAGGUUCAGGUGCAAGUGAACCGAUUCUUUUGGCCCACCAGAGAGGACAUGAAGGUUUGGAUUUAAAAAUAAUUAUCUUAAAUGUCAUGUUAUUGUCCUGCUGCAUGUAAAAGCGUUUUUGAGCAAAAUACUGAACUCAAAAUUGCUCCUGAUGCUUUGCAUUGUUGUUAGUUUCUGUUUGUGGUAGACUUUGCCAUCUCUCUGUGAAUGGGUGAAUGUAGUAUAAACCCCCUUAAGUGGUCGGAAGACUAGAAAGUGCUAUGAGUAGAGUCCAUUUACAUUUGACAUUUCAACUUAAUUAAUUCAAAAUGCUGCAGCACGAGUCCUGACAGGAACUAGAAAAAGAAAUCACAUAUCUCCUGUACUAGCUUCUCUGCACUGGCUCCCUGUAAAAUGUAGAAUAGAAUUUAAAAUUCUCCUCCUCACUUACAAAGCUCUUCAUGGUCAGGCUCCUUCAUAUCUUAAAGAGCUCAUAGUACCCUAUUACCCCACUAGAACACUACGUUCUCUGAAUGCUGGGCUACUUGUGGUUCCUAUAGUCUCUAAAAGUAGAACAGGAGCCAGAGCCUUCAGUUACCAAGCUCCUCUCCUGUGGAACCAGCUUCCAGUUGUGGUUCGGGAGGCAGACACCCUCACCACAUUCAAGAGUAGGCUUAAGACAUUCCUCUUUGAUAAAGCUUAUAGUUAGGGCUGGAUCAGGUGAGUCCUGAACCAUCUCUUAGUUAUGCUGCUAUAGGCCUAGAGUAUCGGGGGAUUUCCCAUGGUGCACUGAGCUCCUCUCUUCCUCUCUCUUUCUGCACUCAUCCAUGUUCCAUUAAUGCAUGUUACUAACUUCACUUCUUCCCCGGAGUUCUUGUGCUUUCUCGUCUUGCAGGUUCUCAUGGAUCCUGGUGGAGCCUCCUGCCAUGGUCCUGCUAGAUUGCCAUUGCCAAUACUGUUGUUGCUGUACACCUGUCUGUCUGUCUGUCUGUCUGUCUGUCUGUCUGUCUGUCUCUCUCUCUCUCUCUCUCUCUCUCUCUCUCUCUGUCUCUCUCUCUCUCACCCCAACUGGUCGAGACAGACGACCACCCACCUAGAGCCGAAGGAUCUGUCCUAGGUUUCUGCCUUUUAACAGGCAGUUUUUCCUUGCCCUUGUCGCCAAGGUCUUGCUCAUGGUGGUACUGUUGGGUCUCUGUAAAUAAUGUUAUAAAGAGUUCGGUCUAGACCUGCUCUAUUUGAAAAGUGUCCGGAGAUAACUUCUGUUAUGAAUUGGCGCUAUACAAAUAAAAUUGAAUUGAAUUGAA